rnacentral:rRNA from 1 species
GGGGAAUAUUGGGCAAUGGGGGAAACCCUGACCCAGCAACGCCGCGUGAAGGACGAAGGCCUUCGGGUUGUAAACUUCUUUGAUCAGGGACGAAAGCAAUGACGGUACCUGAAGAACAAGCCACGGCUAACUACGUGCCAGCAGCCGCGGUAAUACGUAGGUGGCGAGCGUUAUCCGGAUUUACUGGGUGUAAAAGGCGUGUAGGCGGGUUUGCAAGUCGGGUGUGAAAGAUUCGGGCUUAACCCGGAGAGGUCAUCCGAAACUGCAGAUCUUGAGUGCUGGAGAGGAUAGUGGAAUUCCUGGUGUAGCGGUAAAAUGCGUAGAGAUCAGGAGGAACACCAGUGGCGAAGGCGGCUAUCUGGACAGUAACUGACGCUGAGGCGCGAAAGCGUGGGGAGCAAACAG